rnacentral:tRNA from 1 species
GGAAGGGAAUCGCUUCCCGGUGGAGCGCCCGGACUUCAAACCCGGUGAGACGCGUUGAACGUGUCUGGUGGGUUCGACUCCCACUCCCUUCCGCCA